CACGCCGUAAACGAUGAAUACUAGGUGUCGGGGGACAAAGUCCUUCGGUGCCGCCGCUAACGCAAUAAGUAUUCCACCUGGGGAGUACGUUCGCAAGAAUGAAACUCAAAGGAAUUGACG
rnacentral:rRNA from 1 species